rfam:Nematostella vectensis strain CH2 x CH6 NEMVEscaffold_8244_Cont54295, whole genome shotgun sequence.
UUUGUGAUUGACUCCUAUCAAAAGUGAAAGCACUAAUGUGGAGGUAUUUGGAUGGGAGGAAUUUGAGAGAGG